UACGAAGGGGGCUAGCGUUGCUCGGAAUUACUGGGCGUAAAGCGUGCGCAGGCGGUUGUGCAAGACAGAUGUGAAAUCCCCGGGCUCAACCUGGGAAUUGCAUUUGUGACUGCACGGCUAGAGUGUGUCAGAGGGGGUAGAAUUCCACGUGUAGCAGUGAAAUGCGUAGAGAUCGGAAAGAACACCAACGGCGAAAGCACUCUGCUGGGCCGACACUGACACUGAGAGACGAAAGCUAGGGGAGCGAAUGGG
rnacentral:rRNA from 1 species